UGACCGCCAUCCCUUUGGGGAAGGCUGAGGCUACACGGACGGCCGGGUCAAAUGCCGA
rnacentral:sRNA from 12 species